CUCAUAUUGGACAUGGGAAACCUCACCUAGCCCGGACACAGACAGGAUUGACAGAUUGAGAGCUCUUUGUCGAUUCCAUGGGUGGUGGUGCAUGGCCGUUCUAAAAUUUUUAAAAAAAAAUACGGUUGGACUUGAUGAUCUUUGAGGUCUAUUCCAACCAUAAUGAUUCUAUGAGUCUGUUCAAUAUUCAUACUACGGGGAAGGGGGCAGGAAAAGUGAACACCAAGAAGUCUGACUGCAGCAAAUGUUUGCCUGUAAACAAGCACUUCAUAUCUUUAUACUAUCCUUCAAGAAGUAAAGAGGAAAAUGCAAUUAAUUCAUGAUUGUGUCCACAAUGUGCUAAGCAGCUAUGAACCAUUUGCAAAUCUGGAAGGAAACUAGCUCAUCCUCUGGCUAGGGCAG
rnacentral:ncRNA from 1 species